UACGUAGGGGGCAAGCGUUAUCCGGAUUUACUGGGUGUAAAGGGGGCGCAGACGGGAAUGCAAGUCUGAAGUGAAAACCCACGGCUCAACUGUGGGCUUGCUUUGGAAACUGUAUUUCUUGAGUGUCGGAGGGGUAAGCGGAAUUCCUGGUGUAGCGGUGAAAUGCGUAGAUAUCAGGAAGAACACCGGUGGCGAAGGCGGCUUACUGGACGACAACUGACGUUGAGGCCCGAAGGCGUGGGGAGCAAAC
rnacentral:rRNA from 1 species